rnacentral:lncRNA from 1 species
CAACGGUGGAAAGGAUGUAAGCAAAGUUUAACGCGGGAUGACAAUUGCUUUAUUAAUCCAGCCUAUCAAGGGCACUGUACGGGGGUAUUUAUAGGUGCCCGAGUGUCCAACUUCCCAAUGUAAGGACGUUUAUGCCCUCGGGCACCUAGACUAUACCCAGAAUAUUCCCAUAAGGGAGGGUUACAGACCGUCAUUACAGAAAAGCUAUUACAAAUCAGACCCGUAACACGCUUCUCCGUGCGGGGUCUAUUACAGUGGGCCGAAUCCCACGUGGGCCGGUCAGACAGGACGUGGGAUAGAGAGAUUUCGUCGUAAGCCUUCAUCUUGAAGUGAGGAGGACGAAGGGUAGGCUGCACCGGUCAUCUUGCCUUCGUUGGUGCAGUGAGGUGAUGAAGGCCUCGAGCGAAGGGUAGCGUCUUCACCUUCGUCCCAACAGUAGGGCCUCCUCCCAUGGCGAAAGCGACUCUGCACGAUGCUCAACUCCAUCGAGAAUUUCUUGUGAAGCCAAGGGUCUUCCACGUCCAACGAACCACGAGGAGCUUCCAUGUGUGCUGGUGAUCUUGCCUGACCGUACUCCGAAGACCGAGAUGCAGCGCGCUCGUGGACUGCUUGUUGCGGUUUUCUCUCUCCCUCGACGUCACGGCAGCAGGGGCUCUCUCGGCUACCAAGAUUGUGCGAGAUGGAUGAAGGGCUCGGCAAUAUAUGCCUAGAGACUAGAGAGGAGGGAAUCUCGACCAGGGGCUGGCCGCAACAGCCAUGCGGCAACCGUGAGUUCGUUCCGAUCUGCAGGGGAGGAGAUUAGGAGAAGCACCUGUUCUGGGGUCCACUUGUCUGUGGUCGUAGGAACCAGGGCGCGGCGCAUUGGUCACUGACCCAAGCGGCCCAUGUGUCAGCAACACGUAACCAGGGACAUGUACACGGUGAACAAAAGAAAAAAAAAGAGCAGGAGAGCGGGCUAGCUCGUGGACUUUUGCUCCGCCGGAAGUGGAAUGAGGAAUUUGGGCCGAGGUGAGUUCUUCCCUUUUAUAUUUACCGUUUCAUUUUUUCCUAUUUCUAACUUCUAAUUUCAUAUUCCCAGAUCAAGUUUGUGUUUCAAAUUCAAAUUGAAUUCAAGUAUGAGUUUCCAAAUUAAGAAAAUGCUCAAGCAGAACUCCAGUGUGAAUGCAAAAAGGUUUUAUUUUAUAUCUAUAUUGAUUAUUUUUCUUAAUUGUAUGCUUCAAAUAGGGAUUAUACUCCCAUUAUUCAUUUUAAAUUACCAUCUUUGAAUGUAUGUGUGAAUUAAAAGGUCAACCAAUUAUGAAUAGUAGUUACUUAUCUAAUAUAGGAGAAUAUAAGAUUAUUUAUCAAGAGGUAUUUUUACCCAAAUAUAGUCUUACUAGUAUUUAUAAUUAUAUAGUUCACGCAUGGAAUAAUCUAAGUGAAAAUCCUUCUAUUAUCUAUUUUCUUUUAAAUUAUAUUCCAGCCUCAAAAAGUCUAGGCUCAAUAUUUGACCUUACGACAUUUUAGGAUUGCUAACCAUCUAUUUUUAAGAGACGUAAUCUCAAACGUAAGCAAUUUAUCAUAAAAAGAAUUCCAAUUUAAAAACUUUUGGAGAGUUUACUGGUUUUCCCAUGAUAGGAUUUUGAGGUGUUACAAAUUCUAUCCCUUAAAAAUAAUCUCGUCCUCGAGAUUAGUAGGAAAAAGAGAUACAAUAAGUUUAGUUUAUAACAAGUUUGGUUUGUAGUUUUAGUUUUUUUUAAAUGGUUGCAUUACCCAAAAAAAAUUAGGGGAUUGGGAAGACAUAAGCAUCACUUAUGUCGAGGCAAGAUGAGAUUACAGUGAGGAUAGGUUGGGGAAAGCAAGGCUAGGCAAGGAAAUUUUCCAUCCCGAAUGGUGGAUCUUGACUUAUUUGAAGAUCUGGUUCUACUCAUAUCCUUGCUUGUCGAGGUUGACAUCUUCCUCCUUCAGUCUUGGUGCCACGAUCUGAGGUUUAUAAGGUUUAGAUACAUAGAUGGUUGUGAAAUGUGAUGUAGAUCAAACAGGGUUUACUUUGACUUUAGGUUGGAAUAGAUGAAUUAGGCAACCUAUCAGGUUGGUCAAGUAGUUGUGUAUGACCGAGUUGAUCUAAGGCACCAAUCAUGAAUCUGUUGGUCGGGUUAGGUCGUUUGUUCAUGGCUGAGUUGGUUUACGACACCAUUUUAAGUUAAAACAUGUUUAUAGCGAUAGGGUCUAAUCUAUUUUGCUAGUAUUAACUAACAUGUUAAGCAACUCCCAUUAUAUUAUUUCGUAUUAGAUUAGGUGGGAUCUUGAUCAUAUUGGUAUGAUUAGAUUAGACUAAAUAGGAUCUAAUUAAUUUGGAUUAGAUCAUUGUUGUUACUCUAAGAUGAGAUAAGCAAAGUGGUUAGGAUAAGAUAAGAUAUAAUCUUUUAAGAUGAGAUCAAUCUAUUGAGCUAGAAUUUUUUUUUGUAAUGGGUAAUAAUAUAAGUUGUAUAGUUAUCUUAUAAGUAUGUUUUUAUACCUAACUAUAUAUGUAGAUACAAUUGUGGACAUUACUCCACAACUCAUCACACUCAAUCGAAGAGCCAAAUCAAACAGGUGGAAUAAUAACAAACAUUCAAGUAAGUAGAUACCUAGAAAAAUAGUUUUUUUGUGAUUAGGUCUGUUGGGGGCCUUCGUCUUCCGAAGGUCCUCAAAAACACGACUAACAUGUUUUCCAAGUAUAAUAUAUUGUCACAUGUACCUUCGGCCUUGAGAUGAAGAUGCACAUGGUAUGAAAGGCGCGGCCUGGAAGAAGGAUGAAUCAAUUCCGAAGCCAUGAAGGGAGAAGCUUCGGCUUAACGGUGGAAAAUGAAACCGACCUAAAGGUGAAAAGGUUGUCUAGUCCUCGACAAAUUACACUUUAGUCAAUAGUAAGUGUCAAGGACAUGGAUGUAAUUUUACACAGGCUGUGUCCUGUGCAUAUAAAUAGAUGAACAGUAACACCGUACUGUUCACGCUGACUUGUAUUCACUCGCACGUCACUCUGGGGUUUUUACCUUCUGUCAAGCCGAAUGUAUGGAAUGUAAUUCAAUAUUAUUAAUACUUAUUCAUGAUUAUAAAAUGAGAAUACAGAUAACCUGAUGAUUUGACAUAAUUAUUCAUGUUCUUUACAUGUCUUUUAUAUUCCUGCUAUUUAUUAUAUGUUG